rnacentral:rRNA from 1 species
ACCGUUAACGAACGAGACCUCUGUAGAUAGUUGGACGGUUUGGUGCGAACCAGAUCGCUCUCUUAUCUAGACACACUGGGAUAACCGGUGGGAAGCGGGAGGCAAUAACAGGUCUGUGAUGCCCUUAGAUGUUCUGGGCUGCACGCGCGCUACACUGACAGAGGCAGCGAGUGACCUGCACCGAGAGGUGUGGGAAAUCUUGUGAAACUCUGUCGUGCUGGGGAUAGACCAUUGCAAUUAUUGGUCUUGAACGAGGAAUUCCUAGUAAGCGCAAGUCAUCAGCUUGCGUUGAUUACGUCCCUGCCCUUUAUACACACCGCCCGUCGCUAGUACCGAUUGAAUGGAUGG